GUGGUGCUUGCCUUGCCUCCCUUUGUUCCUGUUGGCAAUGCCCUUCCUCCCUCCCAUCUCUGCUCUAAGGCAUUCGAGACUCAUCCAGUUUUUUUAGUUGAGCUUUUUGGGAAUUUUACAUGGAGUGGGGAUGGGGAGGCGUUGUGUUAUUGUUUUGAGGCAGGGUCUCACCAUGUGUGAACUCCCAACUCCACCCCAGGAACCUGGAUUUUUUUCUUCUUCUUUCUUGGGACUUCCUCCUAUAUUGGAGCCAAUCUAACCUUUCCAUAGCCCUCUCUUGGGCCCUCUCUGGAGCUCUAGCUCCUGUCCCAAGCUCUUUAAAAAAAAAAAAAAAAAAAAAAAAACCUCAUCUUUGGGUAGACCAAUGAGCUGGCUCGGUGGAUAAAGCCUGAUGUUUGUUGGAUCCCUGGAGCUGUCCUAUAGAGGAGAGCCAGGACCUGCAAAGUGCCUCCGGCCUCUACAUGUGCUGCAGGCACACACAUGCACACAACAAACAAAGUAUUUUUAAAUAAAAUGAUUAGAAAACCUUCACUACUGAGAGUAAUGACAUGCGCCUUUAAUCCUAGCAUUCGUGAGCCAGAGCAGGCAAAUCUCUAAACUCAAGGCCAGCCAGAGUCACAUGCUGAGAUUCUGUCUCAAGUAGAACAAGCCCAUCACCCUUUACCAACCAUGAACGCCAAGUCUGCAGACAAGGACUCAGAGCCACUGAGUCAGUGGAUGCUUUCUGGGACUGGGAGCCUCUGGCAGGUUCCUGAGUUGAGCCCAUAUGAGAUGAGUCUCCUUUGCAUUCCCUUUUUUCCUGUCCCCCAUUUACUGACAGAUUAUAGCUUGCCUGCCCUGUGGUUUUUCUUUCAAAGUCUAUUAAAAUGGUCAAGCUUCGUCAUUGUCAGGGUCCAGCGGGGUCAGAGUUCUCAACUGGAAGCAGGGAUAUCUGGAAGGCACAUAAUAAACAGACACAGACUACUUUUCAGGUACAAACUGACAGGCAAUUUUUCAAGGCUUACUCUCUCCUCUCUCUGUCUCUCUCUCACUCAUUCACAGCUUGAGGCUGCACACACACUGCAUUCUCUUUUGUACUCUGCUUUUUUCCUGUGCACUUUCCUUUUCUUGAACUCCCACACUCCUACACACUUCUUUUUUUUUUUUUUUAAUCUUCCUCCUAUACAUUGCCUUGGUCAUGGUGUUUUGUUUUGUUUUUAUUUAUUAUAUGUAAGUACACUGUAGCUGUCUUCAGACACACCAGAAGAGGGAGUCAGAUCUUGUUAGGGAUGGUUGUGAGCCACCAUGUGGUUGCUGGGAUUUGAACUCAGGACCUUCGGAAGAACAGUCGGGUGCUCUUCCCUGCUGGGCCAUCUCACCAGCCCCUCCUACACACUUCUAUGUGUUCCUUUUUCACUCACACACACAACGUGCACUCUCCUUACACUCACACACACUCGUCACAUACACCUAACUCUUUCUUACUUGCUCUCUCGCCUUUUUCUUGCCCCAGUCUAUCGAUAUUCC
rnacentral:lncRNA from 1 species